GCAGUGCCCCUUGAUACUGAAGAGCUUGAAUACAUUAGAGGUAGGCGGAAUGUGACAAGUAGCGGUGAAAUGCAUAGAUAUGUCACAGAACACCGAUUGCGAAGGCAGCUUACUAUGAUGAGAUUGACGCUGAGGCACGAAAGCGUGGGGAUCAAACAGGAUUAGAUACCCUGGUAGUCCACGCCCUAAACGAUGAAUACUCGCUGUUAGCGAUACACAGUUAGCGGCUAAGCGAAAGCGUUAAGUAUUCCACCUGGGGAGUACGGUCGCAAGAUUGAAACUCAAAGGAAUUGACGGGGGCCCGCACAAGCGGAGGAGCAUGUGGUUUAAUUCGAUGAUACGCGAGGAACCUUACCCGGGCUUGAAAGUUAGUGAAUCAUUUAGAGAUAGAUGAGUGAGCAAUCACACGAAACUAGGUGCUGCAUGGCUGUCGUCAGCUCGUGCCGUGAGGUGUUGGGUUAAGUCCCGCAACGAGCGCAACCCCUAUGUUUAGUUGCCAGCACGUUAAGGUGGGGACUCUAAACAGACUGCCUGUGCAAACAGAGAGGAAGGAGGGGACGACGUCAAGUCAUCAUGGCCCUUACGUCCGGGGCUACACACGUGCUACAAUGGAUGGUACAGAGGGCAGCAAGCUGGCAACAGCAAGCGAAUCUCCAAAAGCCAUUCACAGUUCGGAUAGAGGUCUGCAACUCGACCUCUUGAAGUUGGAUUCGCUAGUAAUCGCAUAUCAGCAAUGAUGCGGUGAAUACGUUCCCGGGCCUUGUACAC
rnacentral:rRNA from 1 species